CAAUAGCGUAUAUUUAAGUUGUUGCAGUUAAAAAGCUCGUAGUUGGAUUUCGGUUAAGAGCGACCGGUCCGCCGUUUGGUGUGCACUGGUUGGUUUUAACUUCCUGUAGAGGACGUGCUCUGGGUUUAACGACCUGGACUCGGAGUCUACGUGGUUACUUUGAAAAAAUUAGAGUGUUCAAAGCGGGCUUACGCUUGAAUAUUUCAGCAUGGAAUAACACUAUAGGACUCCUGUCCUAUUUCGUUGGUCUCGGGACGGGAGUAAUGAUUAAGAGGAACAGUUGGGGGCAUUCGUAUUUCAUUGUCAGAGGUGAAAUUCCUGGAUUUAUGAAAGACGAACUUCUGCGAAAGCAUUUGCCAAGGAUGUUUUCAUUAA
rnacentral:rRNA from 1 species